AGAGUUUGAUCCUGGCUCAGGAUGAACGCUAGCGGCAGGCUUAACACAUGCAAGUCGAGGGGCAGCGGGGAGGAAGCUUGCUUUCCCCGCCGGCGACCGGCGCACGGGUGAGUAACACGUAUGCAACCUGCCCCUGUCAGGGGGACAACCCGCCGAAAGGCGGGCUAAACCCGCGUACAUGCCACCGGGGCAUCCCGGAGGCAGGAAAGGCUUCGGCCGGACAGGGAUGGGCAUGCGGCGCAUUAGGCAGUAGGCGGGGUAACGGCCCACCUAACCGACGAUGCGUAGGGGUUCUGAGAGGAAGGUCCCCCACACUGGUACUGAGACACGGACCAGACUCCUACGGGAGGCAGCAGUGAGGAAUAUUGGUCAAUGGUCGGGAGACUGAACCAGCCAAGCCGCGUGAGGGAGGAAGGUACAGAGUAUCGUAAACCUCUUUUGUCAGGGAACAAAGGCGGGGACGUGUCCCCGGAUGAGUGUACCUGAAGAAAAAGCAUCGGCUAACUCCGUGCCAGCAGCCGCGGUAAUACGGAGGAUGCGAGCGUUAUCCGGAUUUAUUGGGUUUAAAGGGUGCGCAGGCGGUCUGUUAAGUCAGCGGUCAAAGCCCGGGGCUCAACCCCGGCCCGCCGUUGAAACUGGCAGUCUCGAGUUGGAGAGAAGUAUGCGGAAUGCGCGGUGUAGCGGUGAAAUGCAUAGAUAUCGCGCAGAACUCCGAUUGCGAAGGCAGCAUGCCGGCUCCACACUGACGCUGAGGCACGAAAGCGUGGGUAUCGAACAGGAUUAGAUACCCUGGUAUUCCACGCAGUAAACGAUGAAUGCUGGCUUGUCCGGGGGGACUGACCCCUGGGUGGCGAAACCGAAAGCGAUAAGCAUUCCACCUGGGGAGUACGCCGGCAACGGUGAAACUCAAAGGAAUUGACGGGGGCCCGCACAAGCGGAGGAACAUGUGGUUUAAUUCGAUGAUACGCGAGGAACCUUACCCGGGCUCAAACGGGGAGUGGCGCAGGCAGAGACGCCUGUUUCCCACGGGACACUCCCCGAGGUGCUGCAUGGUUGUCGUCAGCUCGUGCCGUGAGGUGUCGGCUUAAGUGCCAUAACGAGCGCAACCCCCGCGUGCAGUUGCUAACAGUCAACGCUGAGGACUCUGCACGGACUGCCGGCGCAAGCCGCGAGGAAGGCGGGGAUGACGUCAAAUCAGCACAGCCCUUACGUCCGGGGCGACACACGUGUUACAAUGGGUGGUACAGCGGGAAGCCAGGCGGCGACGCCGAGCGGAACCCGAAAUCCACUCUCAGUUCGGAUCGGAGUCUGCAACCCGACUCAGUGAAGCUGGAUUCGCUAGUAAUCGCGCAUCAGCCAUGGCGCGGUGAAUACGUUCCCGGGCCUUG
rnacentral:rRNA from 1 species